rnacentral:rRNA from 1 species
GACGAACGCUGGCGGCGUGCUUAACACAUGCAAGUCGAACGGAAAGGCCCUGCUUUUGUGGGGUGCUCGAGUGGCGAACGGGUGAGUAACACGUGAGUAACCUGCCCUUGACUUUGGGAUAACUUCAGGAAACUGGGGCUAAUACCGGAUAGGAGCUCCUGCUGCAUGGUGGGGGUUGGAAAGUUUCGGCGGUUGGGGAUGGACUCGCGGCUUAUCAGCUUGUUGGUGGGGUAGUGGCUUACCAAGGCUUUGACGGGUAGCCGGCCUGGGAGGGUGACCGGCCACAUUGGGACUGAGAUACGGCCCAGACUCCUACGGGAGGCAGCAGUGGGGAAUAUUGCACAAUGGGCGGGAGCCUGAUGCAGCGACGCCGCGUGCGGGAUGACGGCCUUCGAGUUGUAAACCGCUUUCGCCUGUGACGAAGCGUGAGUGACGGUAAUGGGUAAAGAAGCACCGGCUAACUACGUG